rnacentral:rRNA from 1 species
CAGCUUGACACUGCUACUUGGAUAAGAAUGUGCAGGAUAGGUGGGAGGCUUUGAGUAUAUGACGCCAGUUGUAUAUGAGCCAUUGUUGAGAUACCACUCUUUCUUAUUUGGGUAGCUAACCGGCUUGAGUUAUCCUCAAGUGGGACAAUGUCUGGUGGGUAGUUUGACUGGGGCGGUCGCCUCCCAAAUAAUAACGGAGGCUUACAAAAGUUGGCUCAGAACGGGUGCAAAUUCUCAUCA